rnacentral:rRNA from 1 species
UACGGAGGAUGCGAGCGUUAUCCGGAUUUAUUGGGUUUAAAGGGUGCGUAGGCGGACGCUUAAGCCAGCGGUAAAAUUGCGGGGCUCAACCUCGUCGAGCCGUUGAAACUGGGUGUCUUGAGUGGGCGAGAAGUACGCGGAAUGCGUGGUGUAGCGGUGAAAUGCAUAGAUAUCACGCAGAACUCCGAUUGCGAAGGCAGCGUACCGGCGCCCAACUGACGCUGAAGCACGAAGGCGUGGGUAUCGAACAGG